GGGUUGUGAGGUUAAGCGACCAAGCGUACACGGUGGAUGCCCUGGCAGUCAGAGGCGAUGAAGGACGUGCUAAUCUGCGAAAAGCGCCGGUAAGGUGAUAUGAACCGUUAUAACCGGCGAUGUCCGAAUGGGGAAACCCAGUGUGACUCGUCACACUAUCAUUAACUGAAUCCAUAGGUUAAUGAGGCGAACCGGGGGAACUGAAACAUCUAAGUACCCCGAGGAAAAGAAAUCAACCGAGAUUCCCCCAGUAGCGGCGAGCGAACGGGGAGCAGCCCAGAGCCUGAAUCAGCAUAUGUGUUAGUGGAAGCGUCUGGAAAGGCGCGCGAUACAGGGUGACAGCCCCGUACACAAAAGCGCAUGUGCUGUGAGCUCGAUGAGUAGGGCGGGACACGUGGUAUCCUGUCUGAAUAUGGGGGGACCAUCCUCCAAGGCUAAAUACUCCUGACUGACCGAUAGUGAACCAGUACCGUGAGGGAAAGGCGAAAAGAACCCCGGCGAGGGGAGUGAAACAGAACCUGAAACCGUGUACGUACAAGCAGUGGGAGCCCCACCACCAAAGCGUUUCGCUUUGCGUGGUGCGCAAAAUGCGUAACGACAGCACGAUUGCGGUUAACGGAGCGUAAGCGACGUUCAACACAAGAAUCAGGCAGUGGAGCGUUUUGGGGUGGGGUGACUGCGUACCUUUUGUAUAAUGGGUCAGCGACUUAUAUUCUGUAGCAAGGUUAACCGAAUAGGGGAGCCGGAGGGAAACCGAGUCUUAAUUGGGCGUUAAGUUGCAGGGUAUAGACCCGAAACCCGGUGAUCUAGCCAUGGGCAGGUUGAAGGUUGGGUAACACUAACUGGAGGACCGAACCGACUAAUGUUGAAAAAUUAGCGGAUGACCUGUGGCUGGGGGUGAAAGGCCAAUCAAACCGGGAGAUAGCUGGUUCUCCCCGAAAGCUAUUUAGGUAGCGCCUCGUGAAUUCAUCUCCGGGGGUAGAGCACUGUUUCGGCCAGGGGGCCAUCCCGGCUUACCAACCCGAUGCAAACUGCGAAUACCGGAGAAUGUUAUCACGGGAGACACACGGCGGGUGCUAACGUCCGUCGUGAAGAGGGAAACAACCCAGACCGCCAGCUAAGGUCCCAAAGUCAUGGUUAAGUGGGAAACGAUGUGGGAAGGCCCAGACAGCCAGGAUGUUGGCUUAGAAGCAGCCAUCAUUUAAAGAAAGCGUAAUAGCUCACUGGUCGAGUCGGCCUGCGCGGAAGAUGUAACGGGGCUAAACCAUGCACCGAAGCUGCGGCAGCGACACUGUGUGUUGUUGGGUAGGGGAGCGUUCUGUAAGCCUGCGAAGGUGGCCUGUGAGGGUUGCUGGAGGUAUCAGAAGUGCGAAUGCUGACAUAAGUAACGAUAAUGCGGGUGAAAAACCCGCACGCCGGAAGACCAAGGGUUCCUGUCCAACGUUAAUCGGGGCAGGGUGAGUCGACCCCUAAGGCGAGGCCGAAAGGCGUAGUCGAUGGGAAACAGGUUAAUAUUCCUGUACCUGGUGUUACUGCGAAGGGGGGACGGAGAAGGCUAUGUUGGCCGGGCGACGGUUGUCCCGGUUUAAGCGUGUAGGCUGGUUUUCCAGGCAAAUCCGGAAAAUCAAGGCUGAGGCGUGACGACGAGGUACUACGGUGCUGAAGCAACAAAUGCCCUGCUUCCAGGAAAAGCCUCUAAGCCUCAGGUAACAUCAGAUCGUACCCGAAACCGACACAGGUGGUCAGGUAGAGAAUACCAAGGCGCUUGAGAGAACCCGGGUGAAGGAACUAGGCAAAAUGGUGCCGUAACUUCGGGAGAAGGCACGCUGACACGUAGGUGAAGCGGUUUACCCGUGGAGCUGAAGUCAGUCGAAGAUACCAGCUGGCUGCAACUGUUUAUUAAAAACACAGCACUGUGCAAACACGAAAGUGGACGUAUACGGUGUGACGCCUGCCCGGUGCCGGAAGGUUAAUUGAUGGGGUCAGCGCAAGCGAAGCUCCUGAUCGAAGCCCCGGUAAACGGCGGCCGUAACUAUAACGGUCCUAAGGUAGCGAAAUUCCUUGUCGGGUAAGUUCCGACCUGCACGAAUGGCGUAAUGAUGGCCAGGCUGUCUCCACCCGGGACUCAGUGAAAUUGAACUCGCUGUGAAGAUGCAGUGUACCCGCGGCAAGACGGAAAGACCCCGUGAACCUUUACUAUAGCUUGACACUGAACACUGGUCCUUGAUGUGCAGGAUAGGUGGGAGGCUUUGAAGUGUGGACGCCAGUCUGCAUGGAGCCGUCCUUGAAAUACCACCCUUUAAUGGCUGGUGUUCUAACGUAGACCCGUGAACCGGGUUGCGGACAGUGUCUGGUGGGUAGUUUGACUGGGGCGGUCUCCUCCUAAAGCGUAACGGAGGAGCACGAAGGUUGGCUAAUCCUGGUCGGACAUCAGGAGGUUAGUGCAAUGGCAUAAGCCAGCUUGACUGCGAGCGUGACGGCGCGAGCAGGUGCGAAAGCAGGUCAUAGUGAUCCGGUGGUUCUGAAUGGAAGGGCCAUCGCUCAACGGAUAAAAGGUACUCCGGGGAUAACAGGCUGAUACCGCCCAAGAGUUCAUAUCGACGGCGGUGUUUGGCACCUCGAUGUCGGCUCAUCACAUCCUGGGGCUGAAGUAGGUCCCAAGGGUAUGGCUGUUCGCCAUUUAAAGUGGUACGCGAGCUGGGUUUAGAACGUCGUGAGACAGUUCGGUCCCUAUCUGCCGUGGGCGCUGGAGAACUGAGGGGGGCUGCUCCUAGUACGAGAGGACCGGAGUGGACGCAUCACUGGUGUUCGGGUUGUCAUGCCAAUGGCACUGCCCGGUAGCUAAAUGCGGAAGAGAUAAGUGCUGAAAGCAUCUAAGCACGAAACUUGCCCCGAGAUGAGUUCUCCCUGAGACUACAAGUCUCCUGAAGGAACGUUGAAGACGACGACGUUGAUAGGCCGGGUGUGUAAGCGCAGCGAUGCGUUGAGCUAACCGGUACUAAUGAACCGUGAGGCUUAACCUUACAACGCCGAAG
rnacentral:rRNA from 3 species